UACGGGGGGGAGCAAGCGUUGUUCGGAUUUACUGGGCGUAAAGGGCGCGUAGGCGGCCACCGCAAGUCGACUGUGAAAUCUCCGGGCUUAACUCGGAAAGGUCAGCCGAUACUGCGGGGCUAGAGUGCAGAAGGGGCAACUGGAAUUCUCGGUGUAGCGGUGAAAUGCGUAGAUAUCGAGAGGAACACCUGCGGCGAAGGCGGGUUGCUGGGCCGACACUGACGCUGAGGCGCGAAAGCCAGGGGAGCGAACAGG
rnacentral:rRNA from 1 species